rnacentral:rRNA from 1 species
UACGGGGGAUGCAAGCGUUAUCCGGAAUCAUUGGGCGUAAAGCGCCUGUAGGUUGUUUAAUAAGUCUGUUGUUAAAGACUAGGGCUCAACCCUAGAAAAGCAAUGGAAACUACUAGACUAGAGUAUGGUAGGGGUAGAGGGAAUUUCUAGUGUAGCGGUGAAAUGCGUAGAUAUUAGAAAGAACACCAGUGGCGAAAGCGCUCUACUGGACCAUUACUGACACUCAGAGGCGAAAGCUAGGGUAGCAAAAGGGAUUGGAUACCCCUGUAGUCCUAGCCGUAAACGAUGGAUACUAGAUGUUGUGCAUAAUGUACAGUAUCGAAGCUAACGCGUUAAGUAUCCCGCCUGGGGAGUACGCUCGCAAGGGUG